rnacentral:rRNA from 1 species
UAUUAUUCCAAAUAGAAAUUUAUAAAUCUAAAUUAGUAAUAGAUAUUAUCUUGAAAAUUAAAAAAUUUGGCGGUGAUUUAAUCUUUUUAGAGGAAUUUGUUUCUUAAUCGAUAAUCCACGUAAAAUCUUACUUAUUUUUGUUUUUAGUUUGUAUACCAUCAUUAUCAGGUAAUUCUUAAAGGAAAAAUUACUGAAUUUAAUUGUUUAUAAAAAUUAGAUCAUGGUGCAGCUUAUGAAUAAGUUGAAAUGAAUUACAAUAAAUUAUUUUAAAAUGAAUUAAUAAAAUAAAUUUUGUUAUGAAGGAGGAUUUAAUUGUAUUAUAAGUUUAAUAAGCUUAUAAGAAAUAAGCUCUAAAUCAUGUACAUAUCGCCCGUCGCUUUCACCUAUAACUGAAAU